ACUGCAUGCAUCCAGGUUGAGGUAGUAGGUUGUAUAGUUUAGAAUGACACCAAGGGAGAUAACUGUACAACCUCCUAGCUUUCCUUGGGUCUUGCAC
ensembl:miRNA